UAAAUAUAUGGAUUCAACACAAAUAUUUUUUUUAUUAAAGUUUCACUAAUAAUAAAGAACAUAAAGUUACAAGUAGAAAUAUAUGUCCGACAAGUUACAAUAUAGAAUAAAACUAAUAUAAUGCAUAGCAAACAAAGAACCGAACAUAACCCAAACAAGGCAUAUGUAUAACGUAGGCCAGGGACUAACAUGCACAUUCAGGGAUGGCACCAAGGGGGGAGGCAGGGACCCUAGCACCAAAAUGAAAAUUUGUUAUUUUAGUCCCUUAAAGAUUUUAAAAUUAUAAACUAGUUUACUUGGGUCCCAUGUGUUAAAGGCCAAUUUUGGGCCAUCCCUAAAUUACUCAGCCCAAUACAUUAAAUCCCAACAAUUUUGAACCCAAACUAAACCUACCCAUUACCCAAACCCAAUACAAAACCCUUAGCCCAACUAAACACUAAGCCCAAUACCACAAAUCAGAAACAAAAAAUACCUAAACCCUAAUCCUAGCUUGUGACGCCGAAUCCUCUAACAUUCGGCCACCCACCGUUCACCCACUCUCUGCUCCACCGCCCCAGUACCUGCAAGAAGAGAUAGAAACACUAAAAAAAUGAUUGAAAGAGGGUUAUAAAACCCGAAUCAAAAUUGUAAAAAGAGAGGGGGAAUAUGGUUUAAUACAAAAAACGAAUGUAACGAAGGCAUUUUUUUCUUUCUUUCUUUCAGAAUAUUCAAAAGAAAUAACAAAAACAAAACAAGCACAAACAGAUCGGAAAUAUAUAAGGGGAAAUACAAGAAAUAAGAUCGAUCCAGCAACCAAAUACCAACAUCAAAACCUUAAGGAGAAUAUUUUUUUAUCUCUGUUUUUACUUUCGAAUUUAUUCAUUGUACAUUUAUAAAUACAAAAAUAUAAAUAAACAUAACAAUUUUAAAAAACAUAAAUAAAAAGCAAAAAAAAAGAAAAAAAAUUAUAAAUUUACCUUCUCCGGCCACCGUGCGCUGUGGCUGGCGCCGGCGACAGACAGUGGCCGACGAUCGGCCGGUGACCGGCCCCCAGGCUGAGAACCCCUUCCCCUCUCCCUCCCCUCUCUUCCUCUCCCUUCUUCUCUCAUUUUUUUUUCUUCCUCC
rnacentral:lncRNA from 1 species